UGUUAAUUACUUUGUAUGUUCAUUUGUAAUGUUUUAUAUUUUGUGCUGGUUUGGCAGGCAUUUUGUGGAAAAGGAAAUAGACUGGAUGGUAAAACAAAGGAAGUAGAAAUAUCUGACAAAGCACUCAAUGCACCUCCACCAAGAAGAGGGAUUCCUGAUUAUGAUAUGAAAUCGGAACUCUGAGGUUUAUACGAACAACUAAAACUGGUGAUAUUAAUAAUGGUAAAUCUGAAGAAGAUUCUUUUGAAGCUUUUUCAGGAAAAGGUUGGACUUUACGUCAGAAAGUUGGACGUUGAUAUUUUCUACAUGAUUAAGAUAUGUCCUAUAAUUUAAAUUUCAAGACUAUGUAUUAUAUGUGAAUAUAAUUUACUAAUGUGCAUAAAAAUACAUUUUUUACAUUAAAAAUUCUCACAGCUGUA